GGUCGUGUUUAUUUUAUUAGUAAACAGUGAUUGACAAUUAACAGUAUUUUUAUUAACAAAACUGGAUAGUGGAAACUGAAUAGUUGUUGUCUUAAUUUUUUUUAUUAGUUACACUAUUUGCUAUUGUACGGAAUGCUGCUGUUGUAGAGAGCCAUGCUACAUAAAUUCCUACUAAUUGGUCUUAGGCCUUCAAAGAUUUGCGUAGAUUGAUAAAAUGAAAGCAUAAUGAAGUUUAUUUAAGUAUUACUAAGUAUCCUCAAAUGGAUGGUGUUGGUGACGCAGUUCUACCUACACUUCGUUUUCGUUUGUCUUCUUCACGUGAAAACAUUUUGUACUUUAUUAAGAUUGGCCAACAAUUGAGAGAUUGGAACUGGUAUCCUUUGCUUACUGAAAAGAUAAGUUGUAUCCUGUGGUGUUUUAGCUGUUAACUUUUCAUCCUGGAUGCUCUUGUAGUUAAUUAAGACGUUAGAAGAACUCCAGAUGCCAUUAAAUUGUGGAGCAUUGAUUGUGUCGGUUUUCAUUGACUCCAAAAAGUGUGUUCCUAUCUAUGGUCAUAAAGAGAGCAUGAAUGUGCCUUUUUCCUUUGGGAAUGGAGACAAUGUGCUGAAGGAGGGUUUUAUGACAAUAAACUGAUUGCCCCACAAAUGAGAAAGAAUUGCAGUUAAUUUUGAU